GACGAACGCUGGCGGCGUGCUUAACACAUGCAAGUCGAACGAUGAAGAAAAGACUCGAAGCUUCGGCAGAAAUUCAUUUCGGAUUAGUGGCAGACGGGUGAGUAACGCGUGAGCAACCUACCUCUUACAAAGGGAUAGCCUCGGGAAACCGGGAUUAAUACCAUAUAACAUUGCGACGAAGCAUUUCGAUGCAAUCAAAGCUACGGCGGUAAGAGAUGGGCUCGCGUCCCAUUAACCGGAUGGUGAGGUAACGGCUCACCAUAGUGACGAUGGGUAACCGGCCUGAGAGGGUGAACGGUCACACUGGAACUGAGACACGGUCCAGACUCCUACGGGAGGCAGCAGUGGGGAAUAUUGCACAAUGGAGGGAACUCUGAUGCAGCGACGCCGCGUGAGUGAUGAAGGAAUUCGUUUCGUAAAACUCUGUUCUAUGGGAAGAAAAGGACUGUACCAUAGGAGAAAGCUCCGGCUAAAUACGUG
rnacentral:rRNA from 1 species